ACGCAGUAUAAUAUUGUCUCUUGUAAAGCAAUAAAAACAUCAGGGGGAAUACAAGGUCACCCUUCGAACAUGCCUGGGCAGAAUUCUGGGAGAGGCGAGGGGGUGGGGGACACCCAUGAACAUGUUGUGACAUAUCAGGUCAGGAAACACUGGGGGUGACAGACGGUCAGUGGGAGGAGUCUAUCAGCUAUGAGCAGAAACUAAUGGUACCUGGGUUUUGAAGGGGAGUGGAACGCUCAAGUAGGAGGGGGUGACAGCAAGCAUGCAUCAGCGGAGGCUGUCAGGCAAGAUUCCACGCUCCUGUGCGUCUGUAGGAGAGGAAAGACUGUCAAAUCACGGUGUGAAGAGAAUUAAACGUGACCUGCAGGGGGUGACAUUGCGACGCAGAUUGGCUGUGAGGAGACAUCAAGGAGGAAGAGGAGGAGGAAGACUCCCCCGGGAAAGGUUCCUUCAAAUGGUGACCCUGACGUGAUCCUGAAAGAACAUAAGAUAAAAGGACAGAGGAGCUGACAGGAAUUCAGUUGGACUGCAAACCGAAAUAAAAAAGAAACGGCUGCCCGGACUGGCUGCUGUUGGUGAAAUUUGGAUCCAGGGGCUGAAAAUUUUGACGGACAGCAUGAGCCUGGCGUGUGCUGAUGUAUGUUUGCGGUCAUCCGUGACAUGUUCCCGCUCUCCGAGCCGACGGGACGAGGCACCCGGACUACAAACCUAUCAUGGAUCCCAGUUCUCACUUUGAAAAUUGCAUAAGUAUUUGGACAGAUAAGACAAGGUCACAUCCCUCCCGUUUAAGGGAGGCAAAUGUUAUUUAUAGAAUUGCUUUGCUUGACAGAUUGCCAGCUGAAGUUAGGACUGAACUUUUAAAGACCCUGACCUCAUGAAAGGGGGAGAUAGCUACUUUAAUCGUCAUGUGUCACACCAUUUGAAACUUUUUGUCGACAGACAACACAAAUCAUCAGAUGAGGUAAAGGACAUGCAGGAACAACUUUUAAAGCUACAAUUGGCCCAGGCCCAGAAAGUGGCCAUUAAAAAAUAAAUAAAUAAAAACUAAAAAUGGAAGCAGAAAAGCAGAUCUGGAUGGCGCAGGGGUCAAUGAGGAGACGAGGCACGAGUCGUGACAGGGGAUACACCAACGGAGGCAAGGGAAGCGCUCGCCGACCUCCAACGGACCAAGCGUGCUUCAAUUGUGGUCAGUAUGGACACUGGUAUUGUCAAUAUAAUGCUCCCCCACUGAGCAACAGAGACCUCCAGUGGGACCCGGAGAGGCCCCACCUCAAAGAGGAGGCUACAGAGCUCCACACGGCAGAGGUGGAUGCAGCCCGGCACACUGGCAACAGCAUCCGCAGCAGGCUCCACAGCAACAACAGCCAUCUAGCCAGUACUACUGCGAUGAGGACUUGUCCGAAUGCCCAAUGAGCCCGGCGCCAGGGGACGGAGGAAAGGCAGAGCCUCUUAACCCCGCUAAGGGAAGACGACCACCUGAAUGAGCUUUGCAGGAGUGCCCAUGAGUCUGCCGAUUACGACACCAGAGCAGAGCAACGAUGACGUCAGAUGGGACCAUGGACCAAUCAGACGACAGCGAUUCCAUACUUCCACUUUGAAACAUUGUAUAAGUCUGGGGUAGAAUCAGAUAGUUUUUUGUUCGACUACUCUAUCUGCUAAGGAUAAGACAGGGAUAGUUAAGAAC